rnacentral:rRNA from 1 species
UUAUGGCUCAGGAUGAACGCUGGCGGCGUGCUUAACACAUGCAAGUCGAACGGAGCUUAAGAAGGAAGCUUGCUUCAUUUAAGCUUAGUGGCGGACGGGUGAGUAACGCGUGAGCAACCUGCCCUUCAGUGGGGAAUAACAACCGAGAAAUCGGUGCUAAUACCGCAUAAUGUCGGAGGACCGCAUGAUCUUCCGACCAAAGGAUUUAUUCGCUGAAGGAUGGGCUCGCGUCCGAUUAGGCAGUUGGCGGGGUAACGGCCCACCAAACCAACGAUCGGUAGCCGAACUGAGAGGUUGAUCGGCCACAUUGGGACUGAGACACGGCCCAGACUCCUACGGGAGGCAGCAGUGGGGAAUAUUGGGCAAUGGGCGAAAGCCUGACCCAGCAACGCCGCGUGAAGGAUGAAGGUCUUCGGAUUGUAAACUUCUUUGAUUGGGGAAGAAUAAAUGACCUACCCAAAGAACAAGUCACGGCUAACUACGUGCCAGCAGCCGC